rnacentral:rRNA from 1 species
GAUGAACGCUGGCGGCGUGCCUAAUACAUGCAAGUCGAGCGAACAGACGAGGAGCUUGCUCCUCUGACGUUAGCGGCGGACGGGUGAGUAACACGUGGAUAACCUACCUAUAAGACUGGGAUAACUUCGGGAAACCGGAGCUAAUACCGGAUAAUAUAUUGAACCGCAUGGUUCAAUAGUGAAAGACGGUUUUGCUGUCACUUAUAGAUGGAUCCGCGCCGCAUUAGCUAGUUGGUAAGGUAACGGCUUACCAAGGCAACGAUGCGUAGCCGACCUGAGAGGGGGACCGGCCACACGGGAACUGAGAAACGGUCCAGACUCCUACGGGAGGCAGAAGUAGGGAAUCUUCCGCAAUGGGCGAAAGCCUGACGGAGAAACGCCGCGUGAGUGAUGAAGGUCUUCGGAUCGUAAAACUCUGUUAUUAGGGAAGAACAAAUGUGUAAGUAACUAUGCACGUCUUGACGGUACCUAAUCAGAAAGCCACGGCUAACUACGUG